rnacentral:rRNA from 1 species
UACCAGACUCCUACGGGAGGCAGCAGUGGGGAAUAUUGCACAAUGGGGGAAACCCUGAUGCAGCGACGCCGCGUGAGCGAUGAAGUAUUUCGGUAUGUAAAGCUCUAUCAGCAGGGAAGAAAAUGACGGUACCUGACUAAGAAGCCCCGGCUAACUACGUGCCAGCAGCCGCGGUAAUACGUAGGGGGCAAGCGUUAUCCGGAUUUACUGGGUGUAAAGGGAGCGUAGACGGUUCUGCAAGCCAGAUGUGAAAGCCCGGGGCUCAACUCCGGGACUGCUUUUGAAACUGUAUGGCUAGAUUGCAGGAGAGGCAAGUGGAAUUCCUAGUGUAGCGGUGAAAUGCGUAGAUAUUAGGAGGAACACCAGUGGCGAAGGCGGCUUGCUGGACUGUAAAUGACGCUGAGGCUCGAAAGCGUGGGGAGCAAACAGGAUUAGAUACCCCAGUAA